rnacentral:misc_RNA from 1 species
GGGAAGUCUCAGUCUGCCAAAUCAAUCGGUUCCAGUUCAACAUGCACAACCACCUCUUUGCUCGCUUUCGGAAACAGCCUCAGGGAUGCCUUGGAAGUAUAUGUCUUGUUCAUGCUCAUUGGCUAAAGGAGGUCUCCCCAAACACCAGNNNNNNNNNNNNUAAUCCUCUUUUGCUGAUGUCUCAAAGUAAGGAAUGUUUCCUUUAGAAGCACACCACUCCUUUGCUUUCUUCUCAGAAACCACUCGACUGUUUCCCCCAUCAAUGUCAAUCUUGUUUCCAAGCAAUAUAAAUGGAAACGUCUUGGGAUCAGGUGGGUUUGCCUGUUUAAGAAA